UACUUGGGCAGUCAAGUGUAGAAUUGUUGUACCUAGGGCCAUAGAUUUGUUUGUGUAUUUACGUGUUUCAGGACAUAUGAUUAAUGUUCAUGGUCUGCUAGGAACAGCUGGUUGGAGGUCGCAUUUCAUGGUGAGAUGCUUGUAAAGAGACCUAAAGGAGGCCUUGAGCUACUGAAGUCACGUUUGAGGCGAGCUGCUGGAGUCAUCAUAGCACUUGAACUUGGUGUUGCUGGGGCAGGAUACUGGACUUUCAGGAAAGUCAACAGGGAUCAAGAGUUUCGUUAUUAUUUGCACCGCAACUGGCCGACGGUGCUGUCAGCAUACUACACCUUCUGCAACACCAUAGGGGAGGAGUACCGCCAGAUUGAGUCAGCCGACAUCCAGGCGUGGAAGGACCAGGUUCACAGAGUUCCGGCCUCAUCGUCCUCCCCUCAGAGCUGAUCAAUGGCGGCGGCGCGGGCGCUGGCCCACCUGGUGGUCUGGACGGGGCUCGGCUACUUCCUGAUGAGGAUGGUCACCCCCAGUGAUGAGGAAAUGCGCAAGGCGAUAAACCCAUACGGCGUGUCAAAGAACGAGAAGGAAACUAAGCUGGUUAUGGAGACGUUAAAGAGGUCUGCCGGCAUCAAGGGUGAAUAGGACCAUCUCGGAUGCCUAGUCGUAAAAGGUUGGCGACCUGCCAGUCAGCCUCGGCCGGCAAGGACACUCAAGCCGCGGUUCGGGUGCUCCCGUCCUCCACACGGUCCUUCGACCGAGCUGUGGCGGCGGGGCUAAGGCUGCUGGUGAAUUAUAUUGUUACGUUGCGACGAGAUAGAAUGAUGGAUGACAUGUAGUAUGUUAAUAAAGAUAUGAUGUGUGUA
rnacentral:lncRNA from 1 species